GGUUGCUUGGUGUAGGGGUAGCAUGCGACGUUGUGGAGUGGCUUGGCCAUCAACAACACCGUCUCGACCGCGGUUCGAUUCCGCGAGCAGCCA